GGCGAGAUAGCUCAGUCGGUAGAGCAGAGGACUGAAAAUCCUUGUGUCGCCGGUUCGAUUCCGGCUCUCGCCACCA
rnacentral:tRNA from 1 species